rnacentral:misc_RNA from 1 species
AAUUUUUCCACACAUUCUCUGAGCGUGCAACAUAGUCAAGGAAAUACUUGAUAAAAUUCUUCCAAGUUUUCCACACAUUUCAGUAGUUAAUGUGAUAUUUUAUACAUGCUUUUUUUGAAUACUGACAAGAGAGGAGAGAAGGAAGAACGAAAAUGGAGGCAGAUAUUGCAGUAGAUGCAAAACAACCCAAGUCCUCUUCCUCCCAUAGAACCUCUAAGCAAUUUAUGUAGCAAAACAUAUUAGUCAAAUUGCAGCGACAGAUGGAUACCAGCCAAUAAACGAGUAGCAUAGUUCACAAACAAGUG